UCAGGCCUAACACAUGCAAGUCGUACGAGAGUUUUUAACUCUAGUGGCGGACGGGUGAGUAACACGUGAGAAUUUGCCUUUAGGAGGGGGACAACAAUUGGAAACGAAUGCUAAUACCCCAUAUGCUUUAGAGUGAAAUGGAUUUUAUCCGCCUAGAGAGAAGCUCGCGGCUGAUUAGCUUGUUGGUAAGGUAAGAGCUUACCAAGGCGACGAUCAGUAUCUGGUUUGAGAGGACGAUCAGACACACUGGAACUGAGACACGGUCCAGACUCCUACGGGAGGCAGCAGUGGGGAAUUUUCCGCAAAGGGCGAAAGCCUGACGGAGCAAUACCGCGUGAGGGAAAAAGGCCUAUGGGUUGUAAACCUCUUUUUCAGGGAGGAAAAAAUGAC
rnacentral:rRNA from 1 species